CGUUCUUCCCUCUGCCGUGCUCAUCUGUGUCGUCGUGGAGUCGCGUGGCUGCCCAUCCGUCUUGGUGUUGUGGUCGUUGUCUUCUUCAUCCUUCUCCCUUGCCCUAUUGUGCGCUACUCGAUCACCCUCUCCCUUCUCACUGUGAUCUUACUCGUACCUGGACUCCCUGUGGUAGCUUUUCUUCUUCCCAGUCCAUGCUCCUGUUAGAUGCCUUUAACAAAGACAAGGCAUUUUUACCUCAACCUCUGCCAAAUCCACCUCUUUUGGCUCCCAUUCCUGUUGCUACUCCUGACCCUUGAACACAAGAGAUGAUAAAUGAGAAGUUGAAGAAAGCCGAGGACCUUGGCGAGCAAGGAAAGGUUGAUGAGGCGCAAAAAGCAUUGGAAGAAGCCGAAGCACUGAAGAAGCUUCCGACAAGGCAGGAGCCUGUAGUGGAUAAUUCAAAUUCUUCAAAAUAUACAGCUACUGAUGUGCGGAUUGUGAGUAGAUUU